rnacentral:rRNA from 1 species
UGGGGAAUAUUGCACAAUGGGCGCAAGCCUGAUGCAGCAACGCCGCGUGAACGAUGAAGGUCUUCGGAUCGUAAAGUUCUGUUGCAGGGGAAGAUAAUGACGGUACCCUGUGAGGAAGCCCCGGCUAACUACGUGCCAGCAGCCGCGGUAAUACGUAUGGGGCGAGCGUUGUCCGGAAUUAUUGGGCGUAAAGGGUACGUAGGCGGUCUAUUAAGUCAGGUGUGAAAGCGUGAGGCUUAACCUCAUUAAGCACUUGAAACUGAUAGACUUGAGUGAAGGAGAGGAAAGUGGAAUUCCUAGUGUAGCGGUGAAAUGCGUAGAUAUUAGGAGGAAUACCGGUGGCGAAGGCGACUUUCUGGACUUUUACUGACGCUCAGGUACGAAAGCGUGGGGAGCAAACAGG